UUGUCUAUCAGCUUGUUAGCUAUGGUUGAUGGAAGAAACGAAAAGCUGACCUCAGGGCAGGAAUCUGCGCAGUCAGAGAAGAUAACCGGUAACCUGAGAGGCUAACCUGCAGGUCCCCAGAAUGCACCCAGAGAAGCCAUAUCGCAUCAGUGAUUGGAUCAAAUCAAGACUUACAGACUACAGGAUAGCAGUACCUUCAGGUGCUGUUCCCUAUGUUGGUGGUUGAUCUGCGUGAAGAUGGACUUCUGUCAUGGUCUAUUCUGCAAGUGUCCAGUAGAGGUCACUCUGAUGCUCCUAUUAUUGCUAUUGCUCCCUGUCUGCUGAAUGGGGUCCCUCGGAAGGCUGCGUGUGUGGCUUGUGUCCUAACACUGGCAUUUCUGCGGCCUGGAUGCUUCGUGAAUCCAUCUCUACAAAGUGUGUGGGUCUCCAGUCGGCAAUCACCCGGGUUACAAGCGCUACCAGGGCUCAAACGAGUGAUCAACAGCUGUUGGAUGGAGGACCUGCAGGUCCGCUCUCCAGAGUGGAACGGCCAGCACGGGUCGGGGGCUCUGCUUGUUUUGAAAGAGCCGGCCGAUUGACAGGAGGGGUUUUGUCACCAAACACCAGCUUGUUUCUUCCUCGUUCACCUGGACGUGAGCCAGGUUCAAGGUUAAAGGAUCCCAGUGUGAACAGAAUGCGAGCACGGUGUGGAUUCUGUGAAGCAGUUGAAGGAGGGGGGCCUGGUUUUGCAUUGCUCUGUAGUCCUCAGGGUCUCUGUCAAAACUUUUGAUAUGUUGAGUUAGGGAUAGCUUUCCACUCUCCUUCCCCCCUCCCCUCAAGUAUUAUGUAAAACUUAGAAAUUGUCCCACAGAAUGUCAUGUUUGGAGCUCAUUUCACUGCUCAAUCUG